AGCCCGCCUCGCCACGGCUGGGCGCUCGCUGAAGAGUUGAGGCUGCGCCUCUGCCGGCCACAUGGCGUGUUACCUGGUCAUCAGCUCCAGACACCUCAGCAAUGGGCACUACCGGGGCAUUAAAGGAGUCUUCCGAGGGCCCCUCUGCGAGAACGGAUCUCCCUCUCCGAGAGGCUAACCACCUUCUGAGGAAGGCGUGCAUAGGGAUAACGGUUGAUACCAGAAGAACUGAGCAUUUCCAGACUGGAGCCAAGACUGGGAAUGAUUCCUUCCAGCCACACAGGCCCAUUGGAACCAGGCCACCUUUCUGCGAACUCUGUAUGUGUGACUGGAGAGACUCGAGUGCAGCACCAUGACCCCCACCAUCCCACCCAAAGGCUGUGCUGCCAUGGAGGAGACACUGAAAAGUAGUCUCCCUUCAUUUCCCUGGGUGUGUUCCUCUGUUGUCAAUGUGGUAACGUGAUCUUCUCCGCUU
rnacentral:lncRNA from 1 species